GAUGAACGCUGGCGGCGUGCCUAAUACAUGCAAGUCGAGCGAACGGACGAGAAUCUUGCUUCUCUGAUGUUAGCGACGGACGGGUGAGUAACACGUGGAUAACCUACCUAUAAGACUGGGAUAACUUCGGGAAACCGGAGCUAAUACCGGAUAAUAUUUUGAACCCCAUGGUUCAAAAGUGAAAGACGGUCUUGCUGUCACUUAUAGAUGUAUCCGCGCUGCAUUAGCUAGUUGGUAAGGUAACGGCUUACCAAGGCAACGAUGCAUAGCCGACCUGAGAGGGUGAUCGGCCACACUGGAACUGAGACACGGUCCAGACUCCUACGGGAGGCAGCAGUAGGGAAUCUUCCGCAAUGGGCGAAAGCCUGACGGAGCAACGCCGCGUGAGUGAUGAAGGUCUUCGGAUCGUAAAACUCUGUUAUUAGGGAAGAACAUAUGUGUAAGUAACUGUGCACAUCUUGACGGUACCUGAUCAGAAAGCAACGGCUAACUACGUG
rnacentral:rRNA from 1 species